CUAGAUGACUACAACAUGUUUUUAAUAAAAGAAUCAAUUAGUAAAUAAUUUAAUAAGCUCAUGACUUCAUAUGUUAAACUAGGACAGAAUUUCUAGGAAAGUUAAACUCAUCUAAGCUGAUAGAACCCAUAAUAAAACCUCCAAACAUUCAACAAUACUAAAAAUGAACUCGAAGAAAUGAUGUAAGUCACACUCAAUAGUUCCCCUCCAUAUUGUAACUCAACAUUGAAAUAGAGGUCCACGUCUAAGAUAUUAAAAAAUUACAAGGAUAUGUAGAGUAAAAGAUGGGCCUUAGUUACAUGAAUCAAAUACAUGUCUUUAUCUUUUAGAAACAAACACCACCUGAAUCAAACCCCACAUAAUACUUGCUAAACACAUAGAGAUAUACAUGAAUUAACAAAAACAUGAAAGCUACUUUAUUAAAAUAACACAAUUGUAUCAAUCCAAAUUGUUCACAUCUUCACAUUAGAACUUGCUGCUCAAAGUUUCAGAGUAGUACCUGGAUACAACAAUCAACAACAAAAGAAAAUAUGUUGGGGAAUUAAAAAAUUGAUAGGUUCAAUAGCAGCAGUAAGUCAGCAUCUCAAAACACAUCAAUAUUUAGCUCUUUCAAACCACUUUUAACCCCAGAAAAAAAGAAAUUCUUUGAAAUUUUAAAAUUUUGACUAACAAUGAAGACCAAAGUGCAAAACCAAAACAAAUUUCCACCAAAAAAUACAAGAACUUUUCAGUAUUUUUUUAAGUAUGAAUGGCCGCUCAAACUAAGAGAAAAGAGCUCUAAUAUAGAUAAUCCUAAGGCAGCCCUAGCAUGUCUAACCAUUUCCCUUUUUACCCUUCCAAUUCUUGGUUAUUUUACCCUUUUUAACCAUUCAAGAUAUCAAAAAGUUCGCAUCUAUUAACUAACUUGCCCAACCUUAUCCUCUAGAAGUUUCUAUACUAACUGAACAAUGUUCCCUAAUUUUAAAAUACCCAAAUUAUCCCUUUACACCCCGAUUUUGUACAUUCAAAAUGCAUCAUUCCUAGGUCAAAUUGUACCAAGACCCAAAUGAAUGGGCCUCUUAAACGGGUUAGAGAUAACCAAAAGCCCAAUCAACCAAAGUGACCAAACAAUAUCAAAUUAAGUGUAUAUCAAGAGAAGAAAGAGAACAAAAUCCAGAAUUAAAAGAUUUUGCAAUUAACCGUAAAUUAUGCUAUUAAUCAAUUUGAAAAACAAAGACAAGCUAAGACUAAUUCAGCCAACAAAAAUAACGAAAAAAAUAUAAGCAUGAAAGUAAUAAUAUAUAAAAAAUAGAAAGUGCUGCAAGAACAUAAAAUCAAAAAGGAAAAAGAGGGGAAACAUACAAAUUUAUGCCAGGAUGGACAAAUUGAAACGAUUCGACGAAAGGUGAAAGCAACCGAAGCUUGGCCGGAAUUUGAAAAUUUAGGCAAAAUGUGUCGUUUUUGUAAUGACUCAAAACUUUCAUCAGUCGAUUGCCCUCGUUGAGAGUAAUCUAUUAAUGUAAGAUUCGAGUUAAUACGAGUCAAAAUUUGAGCAAAAAUCAGAGAAAGAAAGGGAAAUUAGGGUUUGUAUUUUCUUAUUUCAGAUCCAAACUUGGGUAAACUUGGUUGGAUUCUAAGGAAUGAUAUUGGUAGAUUUGGAAGAAGCAGGGGUAAGGAUUGCAUAGUUAAAUUUUUUGGGUGGUUGGGUGGUCCGCCGUUGCCGGUGAAGGUUUGGGGAUUUGUGGGCUGCUGGGUUUGAUUAGGGUUUAGUUAGAGACGGACUAGGGUGGGUUUGAAUAGUUUAGAGGGUGGUUUCGGACACUUAUCUAGCUAGGGAAUGAGGAGUUCCGGUCUAUUUGAUCUAAUUAAUCCAAUGUUUAUGAUGAAAAGGUUUCGAAACGGGGUCAUUUCGUUUUAAGGAAAGAUUGGACCAUGUCAAUCGGAUUGGGUUGGGGUGUAUUGGGGUGGAUUG
rnacentral:lncRNA from 1 species